AGUGAACGCUGGCGGUAGGCCUAACACAUGCAAGUCGAACGGCCGCACAGUAAGAGCUUGCUCUUACGGGUGGCGAGUGGCGGACGGGUGAGGAAUACAUAGGAAUCUAAUUUUUCGUGGGGGAUUACGGAAGGAAACUUACGCUAAUACAGAACAUGUUCAACGGGUGAAAUCAGCGGAUCUUGGCACCCUUCGCGUUUGAAUUAGCUGAAGCCGGAUUAGCUAGUUGGCAGGGUAAAGGCCCACCAAGGCGACGAUACGUAGCUGGUCUGAGAGGAUGAUCAGCCACACUGGAACUGAGACACGGUCCAGACUCCUACGGGAGGCAGCAGUGGGGAAUAUUGCACAAUGGGCGCAAGCCUGAUCCAGCCAUACCGCGUGAGUGAAGAAGGCCUUCGGAUCGUAAAGCUCUGUUAUUAGGAAAGAAAAGCAGUAGGUGAAUACCCCACUGUUCUGACGGUACCCAAAGAAUAAGCACCGGCUAACUUCGUG
rnacentral:rRNA from 1 species